UGAAUACGAGAUGCUACGGCGUCGAAGCAGUGUAUGUCAGACUUCCAAGAAAAGCUCGCAAUGUCAUAAAUAAAGAAUGCCUGUACCAUAACCGACACAGGUGGGUAGGUAGAGUAUACUAAGGGGCGCGAGAUAACUCUCUCUAAGGAACUCGGCAAAAUAACUCCGUAACUUCGGGAGAAGGAGUGCCUUCUUUAAGAAGGUUGCAAUAACAAGAUCCAAGCAACUGUUUAUCAAAAACACAGGUCUCCGCUAAGUCGUAAGACGAUGUAUGGGGGCUGACGCCUGCCCAGUGCCAGAAGGUUAAAGAAGUUGGUUAGCUUUUGCGAAGCUGAUGACUGAAGCCCUGGUGAACGGCGGCCGUAACGAUAACGGUCCUAAGGUAGCGAAAUUCCUUGUCGGGUAAGUUCCGACCCGCACGAAAGGCGUAAUGAUUUGGAUACUGUCUCGGAGAGGGACUCGGUGAAAUAGACUUGUCUGUGAAGAUGCGGACUACCUGCACCAGGACAGAAAGACCCUAUGAAGCUUUACUGUAACUUGAAAUUGAAAUUGGACUUUAUUUGCGCAGUAUAGGUGGAAGGCGUUGAAAGUAAUCUUGCGGGAUUAGUGGAGCCAUCAGUGAGAUACCACUCCUAUAAUGUUAGAUUUCUAACUUUGGAUCAUGAUCUGGUCAAAGAACAGUUUCAGGCGGGCAGUUUGACUGGGGCGGUCGCCUCCCAAAUGGUAACGGAGGCGUACAAAGGUUUCCUCUGAACGGGUAGAAAUCGUAUCUAGAGUGUAAAGGCAUAAGGAAGCUUGACUGUGAGACCUACAAGUCGAGCAGGGACGAAAGUCGGUCUUAGUGAUCUGACGGUGCUGAGUGGAAAGGCCGUCACUCAACGGAUAAAAGUUACUCUAAGGAUAACAGGCUGAUCUCCCCCAAGAGUUCACAUCGACGGGGAGGUUUGGCACCUCGAUGUCGGCUCAUCGCAUCCUGGGGCCGGUAGUACGUCCCAAGGGUUGGGCUGUUUCCCCAUGAAAGCGGUACGCGAGCUGGGUUCAGAACGUCGUGAGACAGUUCGGUCCAUAUCCGGUGUAGGCGUUAGAAUAUUGAGAGGAGCCUUCUUUAGUACGAGAGGACCGAGAAGGACAUACCUCUGGUGUACCAGUUAUCGUGCCAACGGUAAACGCUGGGUAGCUAUGUAUGGAGAGGAUAACCGCUGAAAGCAUCUAAGUGGGAAGCCCACCUCAAGAUGAG
rnacentral:rRNA from 1 species